UUUGCGUCGAAGGUAUACCGGUAAGGAGUGCUGGAGCGAAUAGAAGUGAGCAUGCAGGCAUGAGUAGCGAUAAUUAAUGUGAGAAUCAUUAACGCCGUAAACCCAAGGUUUCCUACGCGAUGCUCGUCAUCGUAGGGUUAGUCGGGUCCUAAGUCGAGUCCGAAAGGGGUAGACGAUGGCAAAUUGGUUAAUAUUCCAAUACCAACAUUAGUGUGCGAUGGAAGGACGCUUAGGGCUAAGGGGGCUAGCGGAUGGAAGUGCUAGUCUAAGGUCGUAGGAGGUUAUACAGGCAAAUCCGUAUAACAAUACUCCGAGAACUGAAAGGCUUUUUGAAGUCUUCGGAUGGAUAGAAGAACCCCUGAUGCCGUCGAGCCAAGAAAAGUUUCUAAGUUUAGCUAAUGUUGCCCGUACCGUAAACCGACACAGGUGGGUGGGAUGAGUAUUCUAAGGCGCGUGGAAGAACUCUCUUUAAGGAACUCUGCAAAAUAGCACCGUAUCUUCGGUAUAAGGUGUGGUUCGCCUUGUAUUAGGAUUUACUCCGAAAGCAAGGAAACUUACAACAAAGAGUCCCUCCCGACUGUUUACCAAAAACACAGCACUCUGCUAACUCGUAAGAGGAUGUAUAGGGUGUGACGCCUGCCCGGUGCUCGAAGGUUAAUUGAUGGGGUUAGCAUUAGCGAAGCUCUUGAUCGAAGCCCGAGUAAACGGCGGCCGUAACUAUAACGGUCCUAAGGUAGCGAAAUUCCUUGUCGGUUAAAUACCGACCUGCAUGAAUGGCGUAACGAGAUGGGAGCUGUCUCAAAGAGGGAUCCAGUGAAAUUGUAGUGGAGGUGAAAAUUCCUCCUACCCGCGGCAAGACGGAAAGACCCCGUGGACCUUUACUACAGCUUGACACUGCUACUUGGAUAAGAAUGUGCAGGAUAGGUGGGAGGCUUUGAGUAUAUGACGCCAGUUGUAUAUGAGCCAUUGUUGAGAUACCACUCUUUCUUAUUUGGGUAGCUAACCAGCUUGAGUUAUCCUCAAGUGGGACAAUGUCUGGUGGGUAGUUUGACUGGGGCGGUCGCCUCCCAAAUAAUAACGGAGGCUUACAAAGGUUGGCUCAGAACGGUUGGAAAUCGUUCGUAGAGUAUAAAGGUAUAAGCCAGCUUAACUGCAAGACAUACAAGUCAAGCAGAGACGAAAGUCGGUCUUAGUGAUCCGGUGGUUCUGUGUGGAAGGGCCAUCGCUCAAAGGAUAAAAGGUACCCCGGGGAUAACAGGCUGAUCUCCCCCAAGAGCUCACAUCGACGGGGAGGUUUGGCACCUCGAUGUCGGCUCAUCGCAUCCUGGGGCUGGAGCAGGUCCCAAGGGUAUGGCUGUUCGCCAUUUAAAGCGGUACGCGAGCUGGGUUCAGAACGUCGUGAGACAGUUCGGUCCCUAUCUGCCGUGGGCGUAAGAAGAUUGAAGAGAUUUGACCCUAGUACGAGAGGACCGGGUUGAACAAACCACUGGUGUAGCUGUUGUUCUGCCAAGAGCAUCGCAGCGUAGCUAAGUUUGGAAAGGAUAAACGCUGAAAGCAUCUAAGCGUGAAGCCAACUCUAAGAUGAAUCUUCUCUAAGCUCUCUAGAAGACUACUAGUUUGAUAGGCUGGGUGUGUAAUGGAUGAAAGUCCUUUAGCUGACCAGUACUAAUAGAGCGUUUGGCUUA
rnacentral:rRNA from 1 species